CCAAUAGCGUAUAUUAAAGUUGUUGCAGUUAAAAAGCUCGUAGUUGAAUUUCGGGAUCAAGUCGUCGGUCGUGCCUCGGUACGCACUGGUGACAUUGGUUUCUCCCUUCUGAAGAACCUUGAUGUCAUUAAUUUGGUGUCUUGGGGAAUCAGGACUGUUACUUUGAAAAAAUUAGAGUGUUUAAAGCAGGCUCACGCUUGAAUACAUUAGCAUGGAAUAAUGAAAUAGGACAUUUGAUUCUAUUUUGUUGGUUUCUAGGAUCGACGUAAUGAUUAAUAGGGAUAGUUGGGGGCAUUAGUAUUCAAUUGUCAGAGGUGAAAUUCUUGGAUUUAUUGAAGACUAACUACUGCGAAAGCAUUUGCCAAGGAUGUCUUCAUUAAUCAAGAACGAAAGUUAGGGGAUCGAAGACGAUCAGAUACCGUCGUAGUCUUAACCAUAAACUAUGCCGACUAGGGAUCGGAUGAUGUUAAUUUUUUAAUGACUCAUUCGGCGCCUUACG
rnacentral:misc_RNA from 1 species